rnacentral:lncRNA from 12 species
AUUCCCAUUUUUUCCAGCACUCCCUGUUUUUCCUCUAAUCCCAUUUUUCCCAAAAUCCCUGUUUUUCCCAGAAUUCUCAUUUUCUCCCAGAAUUCCCAUUUCCCCCAGAAUUCCAAUUUCCCCUGUAAUUCCCAUUUAUCCCCCCAGAAUUCCCAUUUUUUCCAGCACUCCCUGUUUUUCCUCUAAUCCCAUUUUUCCCAAAAUCCCUGUUUUUCCCAGAAUUCUCAUUUUCUCCCAGAAUUCCCAUUUCCCCCAGAAUUCCAAUUUCCCCUGUAAUUCCCAUUUAUCCCCCCAGAAUUCCCAUUUUUUCCAGCACUCCCUGUUUUCCCUCUAAUCCCAUUUUUCCCAAAAUCCUCGUUUUUCCCAGAAUCCCCAUUUUCCCCAGAAUUCCCGUUUUUCCCGGAAUUCCCUUUUUUUUUUUUUCCCUGUUUUCCAGCCACCUUGACAGCCACUCCCUGUGGGAGCCGCAGGUCUUCGCCCGCAGCUGCUUCCGGAUCAUCAUGUUCUCCAUCCAGCCCCAGCAUUCCCACCUGGUGAUCCAGCAGCUCCUGAGCCACCUGGAUGCCAACAGCCGGAGCGCGGCCCCGAUCCGGGCGGGAAUUGUCGAGGUGCUCUCGGAAGCGGCCGGAAUCGCCGCCUCCGGAUCCGUGGGUACGCCAGAAUUCCCGGAUUUCUGUGGGAAUUUGAGAGGGGGGAGGUUUGGGAAAGGAAAAACGAGGAAUUCCCGUAAUUUUCCUGGAAUUAUCUGAGAUUUUCCUGGGAUUUUCCAGGAUUUUUCAAGGAUUUCCUGGGAUUUUCCAGCAUUUUCUGCGGUUUUCCGUUAUUUCUCCAAAAUAUUCCAUGUUUUUUC